UUUUAGUUUAAAUAGAUUUCUUUUCUUCUUUUCUCUCUUCAUUUGUCAUUUUUUUUUUCGCAGUCAGAUUCACUGAAUCCCAAGACAAGGAGCUCUUUGAUAAUGGGCUAGAGGAAAGGGUGAAAGAAUGGUUUAGAACUAAUUCAAGAAAGAACAAUCUGAUUCCCACUUGGAGGAGGACGCAGGAGCUGAAUCAGAUGGGGCUGCGGUGCCUGGGGAGGAGGAAAUUGAAAAUGCCCUGUAUGAUUCCAGGUAAUGGGAAUACUGAGGUAAGUAUUACAAAAUCCAUGCCCCUGCGGAACUUAUGCUCUAGUCAAGGGAGGAAGAGAACUAAUGAAUGAACUAAUAAACAACUAAAUGAGAUAGUUUCAGAUAGUUGUGGAUGCACUGGAUAAAAAGAAAGGUGGCCAUGUAUAGUAACGACUUUGGUUAGAGGGGUCAAGGUAGGUGUCUGAUCUUUGAUAUGAAACUGGGAUAAUGAGAGGGACCCAGACAUGGAAAGAUCUAGAGAAGAAACCCUUAAGGCAGAGGGAACAAAUCACGCAAAGGUUCUUGGACGGGAAUAAAUUUGUGUUCUCAGGGUCCAGAGGGAAGGUCAGCACAACCUGAGCCAGGAAUGUCACAAGAGGUGAGCCAGGAGGCUGGAAGGCAGGCCACUUGAGGUCUUUGGCUGUACAUAUCUUUUCUUUAGGCCCCUUGAGCAUGUCAUCUAACCUGUCUAGGCCUCAGUUUCCCCUUCUUUAAAGUAAAGGGGAUAGAACUAUCUCCUAGACUUGCUUGUGAAGAUUUAGUGUGUUAAUCGAUGUUAGGUGCUUGGAAGAAUGUCUGCCACUUAGUAAGAACUAUAUGUGUUAUCUAUUAUUAUUAUGUAUUUAUGUACUUUCCCCCUAGCUAACAAUUUAUUGCUCUGAUAGACUUUUAAAGCUAGAAUAGGUCUUGGAAAUCAUAUUAAAUCUUGACAUUUUACAGACGACACUUUAGCUCAGCAAGGUCAAAUGGUUGAUACAAGUUCCCAAAACUGGUAAGUAAAUGUUUAGACUAGAAUCUUGGUUUCUUGACUCUCAGGCCAAGAGCUUUCUACUAUUAAAUAGUGUUGGCCUUUAGCUAUCAACCUUAUGGCUUAGAAUUGUUUUCCUUAGUAUUUGCCUUAUAUAAUUAUAUUGACGAUAGUAUUAUUGAAGCUGUAUUUUUUGGUAGAGACUGAGAUAGUUACCACGCUAGUAGUGAAUUUACAAGCUAAUGACUUACUGAUAACUGAAAGAUAUUUGGAAACAAUUAGGAUCUUGCCAUGAAGUUUAUAACAGCUUUUGCCCAUAGUAAAAUAGUAAUAUAGGCUAUUAUUUAAGAUUAUUCUAUUUUAUCUAGUGAAUUAACCACAGAUUCAAAUAUCCCAUUAGUAGCUUUAACUUUUGCACCUUUUGAAUAAGAUGAAUAUAGAAAAAUUAUUUUAUUACAUUUUUUCAUUCAUCUAUUUCCUCAACAACUACUCUGUACCCUGUACUAAUCUAGAGACUAAAGAUACCAUUGUAAACAGUAUAGAAGAGUGUCCUCUCAUGGACCUUAUACUCUAGUCAGGGGAAGCAGACAAUAAACACAUGAGUGAAUUAACAAAUAAUGAAAAGGGUAAUUUUAGGGUAGUCCCCAAACACUUUAAAAUUGGGAAAUCAGGCAAUCAGUGAUUUGUCAGUCUAAUAAAUAAUAAUGGUAUAACUAAAAUCAGAAGUGUUAAUCACACUUUAAGUGAUUAGCCCAUUUAAACAACUUAUUUUUCCAAGCCUCAGUUCUCUAGCCUUACUACCCACCAAUAAAUGAGUUA
rnacentral:lncRNA from 1 species